AACCUUCUCUCCAAUUGGUACAAAUAUUCUUGAUCGAUUCACGUGGUUUAAUAAACUGGUUUCGUAGUUCAAUAUUUUGGUGGUACUUGAGAAACAAAAUAAAUUGUGUCACUUUAUUGGACUUUUUUAUUAAAAACUACUUGAUCUUGAAGACAUUGUUGUUUGUGCUAAAACACAGACAAUGCGUGUCACCUCGGGCAUGAGCUGCUUCAGGACAUACAAUCCUGCGUGAAAACUAUUUGCUGAAAAUCGUCUGCAAAAAGGAGUGAAGUCCAGUCUCAUUUUUA